AAAUUGAAGAGUUUGAUCAUGGCUCAGAUUGAACGCUGGCGGCAGGCCUAACACAUGCAAGUCGAACGGUGACAG
rnacentral:rRNA from 1 species